rnacentral:rRNA from 1 species
GACGAACGCUGGCGGCGUGCCUAAUACAUGCAAGUUGAGCGCUGAAGGUUGGUACUUGUACCCACUGGAUGAGCAGCGAACGGGUGAGUAACGCGUGGGGAAUCUGCCUUUGAGCGGGGGACAACAUUUGGAAACGAAUGCUAAUACCGCAUAAAAACUUUAAACACAAGUUUUAAGUUUGAAAGAUGCAAUUGCAUCACUCAAAGAUGAUCCCGCGUUGUAUUAGCUAGUUGGUGAGGUAAAGGCUCACCAAGGCGAUGAUACAUAGCCGACCUGAGAGGGUGAUCGGCCACAUUGGGACUGAGACACGGCACAAACUCCUACGGGAGGCAGCAGGAGGGAAUCAUCGGCAAUGGACGAAAGUCUGACCGAGCAACGCCGCGUGAGGGAAGAAGGGUUUCGGAUCGUAAAACUCUGUUGGUAGAGAAGAACGUGGGGGAGAGUGGAAAGCUCAUCAAGUGACGGUAACUACCCAGAAAGGGACGGCUAACUACGUG